rnacentral:lncRNA from 1 species
AUGGAGUUUAUUAAAGAAGAGAGUGAAGACACAAGUGAUCCAGAAGAAUCCAAAAUAAAGGAGGAGGAGCAACAAACAGGAAAAGCUUGCUCAGCUGGAGGAGGAGAUGGGAAGUCCGGCACUGAAGCUCGUUCAGGAGGUGGAGGCCCGCUGGAACACCACCUUUCAGAUGCUGCACCGUCUGGUGGAGCUCAGAGAGCCUGUGGGGGCAGUUUUAGCCAGUCUGACCGCUGGGACACCCCCACUGAGCCCGGACGAAUUUACCUCCGUCAGCCUCUCAUUGCUCUCAAAGCGAUGGGAUUUUUAACUCCUACAAAAGCCAAGGAGGCCAUAAAAAGACUCACAUCAGAGUGUGCUGCCAUGGUAACCACACCAUCAGCAUCACAGGGGGCUGAACUUGUAACCCCAGGUAACAAACUGUGGUGA